rnacentral:rRNA from 1 species
UCGAGAAUCUUCGACAAUGGGCGAAAGCCUGAUCGAGCGACGCCGCGUGCAGGAUGAAGGCCUUCGGGUCGUAAACUGCUUUUGCCGGGGAAGAAUUUCUGACGGUACCCGGCGAAUAAGGGGUUGCUAACUCUGUGCCAGCAGCAGCGGUAAUACAGAGACCCCGAGCGUUAUCCGGAUUCAUUGGGCGUAAAGCGUCUGUAGGGGGUUGUGUUAGUCUCCCGUUAAAUCACGGGGCUUAACUCCGUAACCGCGGGGGAUACGGCACAACUUCGAGUGCGCAAGAGGCAAGCGGAACUCAUGGUGUAGCAGUGAAAUGCGUUGAUAUCAUGGGGAACACCAAAGGCGAAGGCAGCUUGCUGGGGCGCCACUGACCCUGAGAGACGAAAGCGUGGGUAGCGAAUGGGAUUAGAUACCCCCGUAGUCC